rnacentral:tRNA from 1 species
AACCGACUAGUCUAUCCUUAAGACUUAAACUUUGAAAGUUUACAAAAGAAAUUCUAUCUGUUGGUUU